rnacentral:rRNA from 1 species
AGUCGAGCGAGUCUGCCUUGAAAUCGGAGUGCUUGCACUCUGUGAAACAAGAUACAGGCUAGCGGCGGACGGGUGAGUAACACGUGGGUAACCUGCCCAAGAGAUCGGGAUAACACCUGGAAACAGAUGCUAAUACCGGAUAACAACAGAUGAUGCCUAUCAACUGUUUAAAAGAUGGUUCUGCUAUCACUCUUGGAUGGACCUGCGGUGCAUUAGCUAGUUGGUAGGGUAACGGCCUACCAAGGCGAUGAUGCAUAGCCGAGUUGAGAGACUGAUCGGCCACAUUGGGACUGAGACACGGCCCAAACUCCUACGGGAGGCAGCAGUAGGGAAUCUUCCACAAUGGACGCAAGUCUGAUGGAGCAACGCCGCGUGAGUGAAGAAGGGUUUCGGCUCGUAAAGCUCUGUUGUUGGUGAAGAAGGACAGGGGUAGUAACUGACCUUUGUUUGACGGUAAUCAAUUAGAAAGUCACGGCUAACUACGUGCCAGCAGCCGCGGUAAUACGUAGGUGGCAAGCGUUGUCCGGAUUUAUUGGGCGUAAAGCGAGUGCAGGCGGCUCGAUAAGUCUGAUGUGAAAGCCUUCGGCUCAACCGGAGAAUUGCAUCAGAAACUGUCGAGCUUGAGUACAGAAGAGGAGANNNGAACUCCAUGUGUAGCGGUGA